UCAGCAAAAGGAGAAGUACCCCAUUCUUGGAUGGAGAUGAUCUUCUUGAUAAUAAACUUGGAGUAGUUAAUAACCUUACUCUUAGGAGGAUAGUGUUGAAUAUCAACACUUCCCAGGCUGGUGAGGAUAUUCUCAUAGAAUCCUCUCGUUUUGUAAGUCUCGACCUUCCAACAAUUUGCCGGGAGGUACUUAUCCAUAAGAAUCCAUGGGGACUCUUUGAACGUCUCAUCGUCAUCUUCCAUGACUAAAAUUAACUCUUUCUUAGGGGAGUUAAAGAAUUUGUAUUCUUUCUGAGCAACUGAAGAGUAUGAUUCUUCCUCUUCUGACUUUGAGGAAUUGUCCUCCAUCGGUAUAUUCUUUCCUCUUUGUUUGAGGAAUUCCUGGAACUCCUUUUGGAC
rnacentral:lncRNA from 1 species